GAAAAACUAAAUAAUAAAAAAAAGAAAUAGUUUGCAAAUAUAAUAUUAAAAUUUUUAUAAAAUUAAAAUUCGAAAUAUGUAACUGUCCAAAUUAUUUCCCUCCUCGACAAACACACGAUCACAUGGACCCCACACGCUAAAGAACAUUAGAAGAAGGCGCUAGACAUUUUCCAGCGCUAGACAUUUUCCAAAGUGCUAACACCAGACUUGUUAUCAUUCUUGACAGCACAAGAAGACUGCAAAAUCUCUGAGUUACAACCACUGUGGUUAUUGUCACGGAGGAAGUAGAAAUAGAAGAGAAACACACUGCUGACAAUAGCAAAUCCAUACAUAGGCACAACAACGAAAAGGCUCAUGAAGGUUGAAAAUUGGUAAGAAAAUCCAAAGAAAAUGGCAGAAGACAAGCCCCAUAUAGUGACUUUCAAGAAUUCCUUCUUGGGUGAUUCCUCCUUUGAAGGCAAACGAUUGUAGAUUACUACGCAGUAGUCCAAUAUAAAAUAACCCAAGUACACAAAAAUUAUAAAGGCUACCAUUGGCAUGUCGUUGUUUAUAUAUGCUCUGUAGAUUGUGGUUAUGCUGUUAAGUGUCAAGUACAAGCAGGAGAUGGAUUGUGCAAAGCUAGAAGUAGAAGAACGAGCCGGGUUUUCACUGUCAUGGUUUGGAGACAUUUCUGAAACUUGUAACGAAGUGUUUUGGUUAUGGUAGUGGAAGAUAUGAGGAUGGUCUGAAAGAGA
rnacentral:misc_RNA from 1 species